ACUCUGCUGGAGACCUGUCAGCAUGACGCCUGCUGCCUUGCUCUGGGCAGCCCUGGUCUCUGCCUGUCUGGGAUCCAGUGUGGCCCAGAAGGUCAAUCAGUCUCAGGCAGAAGCAUCCGUGCAAGAGGCAGAGACUAUGACCCUGGCCUGCACAUAUGACACAAGCGACAGUGAUUAUUAUUUGUUCUGGUACAAACAGCCUCCCAGUGGGGAGAUGAUUCUCAUUAUCCGCCAAGAAGCUUUUAAGAAACAAAAUGCAACGAAUAAUCGCUUCUCUGCGAACUUCCAGAAAGAAAGCAAAUACUUUGGCCUCAGGAUCUCAGACUCCCAGCUGGAGGAUGCAGCGAUGUAUUUCUGUGCUCUGUCAGAGGCACAGUGAGAUGAGUGACAGGGGGAGGCGUACAGAAACCUCAGAC